UUCGGCCUCGCUGCAUUUCCUAUGUAGCCCCCUGCAAGCCGUCGCCGACGCCUUCCCGAUCGAAUAAUUCGAUACACAAGCAGGCGAUCCAGUCGCCUCUCCGCGGCGCGGC
rfam:Pseudomonas sp. 21C1 contig00002, whole genome shotgun sequence.